rnacentral:tRNA from 1 species
UCCUCGAUAGCUCAGUUGGUAGAGCAGGUGGCUGUUAACCCCCCUGUCGGGGGUUCGAGUCCCUCCCCGGGAGCCA